UUUAGUCCCCACUGGACAUUCAGCUCUCACCCUCGUACACCGCUUUGACAGGCAGGCUAAACCAGGUGAGACUCAUACCCUGGGGAGAUAGGGCCAUGCCUGUCCUUGCGUGCGAGGUCACCUCUGGUGGACUGAGCAGAUGAGAUCCAGGAAGGUGGUUCUGCAAUGUUCUGUGGAGAGCGAAGGGUGUGACAAGGCACAGAAGAAGCCAUGGUCAUCCACUGCAAGUAGGGAAGACCCCAGUUUGUGACACUUGUUCGUACCACUGGACCUGAGCAGCAGAGGCCUAAAGAGUGGAACUGCCCCAGUGCAACAGCUUUUCCACGUUAAAAACUCUCCCACACAGGUUUCCUGUCAUUGUUGGAUACAAUGGGCAAGCACUACGUGUUGAGGUGAAUUGUGGUGAGGUACUCACCAUAGAAUAGGGUGCCCACUACCACAGGAUUGACUUAAUUAAUUCAUGUUUAGUGUUGUUAUUUGUAAAUUUUAUUUUAAUCUCUUUCAUGCUUAUGCCAGCAUAGUUUCCACGUACAAGGUACUUUAUAAAUAAGCCAUUACAUAAAGUAUAUAUCCACAGGCAGCAGGAAAGGACCACUCAACGUUUCACAAAGUCAUGUGAAAAUUGCAUAACUUGAAAAUGGUCAAAAGAAUGAGGUAUAUGACCAACAAAUUUUCUACUUUCAUUCCACCUAACAGAAUAGCGUCACAUAAAAUCAACACAUGCUUUGUCUCAAUCAUGUUACUGAGGGAAAGGAACGAAACCACCUCAGUACUUUUCUGAUCAAAAAAAGAACAAAUAUGGUCCAGUGCGUUGUCAAGACCACAUUGAGACCAGACAUGCUCCUGGUCUCAGAGGCAGCAAAGUACUUCAUCCUGCGGGAGCUGACAGCACUGUGGGACGAGCUUCUGCAGGGGGCUGAUGGGACGAAGCUUGCCAAAUAUGAGGAAUUGGUCAGAGACUGUCGGAGGCAAAGUGCAUGCCCGUUGAAGUGGGCUGCCGUGGUUUCACUGGAUGGACUCUUCACUGUGCCCUUGGUGCAUUGGAUGUCGCUGGUACCAGGAGGCAGGGAGCUCUCAUUGAGGCAGCAGAGAAAGCCUCAAGAUGGCUUGGCAUGAGGAGAGCAAGUCCAUGGGGAUCUGCAGCACACACUACCUGCACUCAAGUCGUGGCUUGAUGAACCAUGACUGGGUCAUCUGGGUGGUGGUGUCCGAUGUUGGAAGACCCAAAACACCCGAUCACCCCAGCUGAGAUCGCUGUGUUCAGAACAUCGUGAGAUGUAGUCUUCCAAUUAGAUUAUCAUUCCCUAUUAAUAAUGAGCAGUAUGAUUAUACAAUUGAGGCACCAUGGUAGUGCUGUGGUUAGUGAGGCGUUAUUACACUUGGGAAGUGUCAGAUGCAUUGUCGGUAAGAUGUUUGUAAGUUCUACUUUUGACCAUUUGGGCUUCCUUCAAGUACUCCGGAUUCCCCCCACAGUCCAAAGACGUAGCAGCUGGUAGGUUAAUUUGUUGUUGUAAAUUGUCCUGUGAUUAGGCUCGGGUUAUUCUGGUGGGCAGCUGGGUGGUGCAGCUCACUGGGCCUAUUCCACGCUGUAUCUCCAAAUAAAUAAACAACGCUUAUUGAACCUUCCAUUAGUCGUUCAUCCAGUAGGGUCAGGGUUCAUGCUAUUUGAGUGACAGUCUUUAAAGAUCUGUCCUUUUGUUUUCAUUCUAAUUUCUAAUAAAACUAAUUUCUCAUUGAGUAGAUCUGGCACUUCAGUUGUUUUGUUAACUUCUUCCAAGAUUUCAAAGCUGUGUGAUUAUUUGGAAAAGCCAUAAGAUGUAGGAUCAGAAACUGGGACAUUUUGCUUCACCAUUUAAUCAGGGAUGAUGUACUUUUCCAGUCAAACCUGUUCUCCUGCCUCCUCAAAAAACUGUACUCAUUGUUGAGCAAAAAACGUAUAAAGUAAAUAUAACUACGUCAAAUUAGUGAAAGUAAUUGUACAGAUAUGUUGUCUUUCCUUAGCAAGAACUGUGUGCAAUGCUAAAUACUCAUGGAAAUGAAAGUUUUUUCUCAACCACUGGAUCAAGUAAGAUAUUUUAUAUUUGUCAUGCAGCUUCAGGAGGGAAUACAUUGUGGAUUAAUGCAAUUCAUUUAACCAGCCCCUAGCUACUAUCAGGAUGUGUAUACCUGCCAAGAUUUGAUUAAUGAUUCAAUUGAACCUGAAUUGGGCCAAAAUUUAUCAGUGUCAGAUCAUUUUUAAUUCUAGCUUUGCAUGGUAGUUCCUCAAGUUUCUGUCAAAGUCUGUUAGAUAUGUGGGUUAUGACCAAAGAGAAAAUGGCUAGAGCCCCUUGGUAAUCCAGUACAAGGGUGUUGAUUGGGUUUUUCAAAAAUCAAACUUACAAAAAUUUGUGAAAAUUAGUGGAAAAAAAAGCCAAUAUUUACAAAAUUAUACCAAGAAGAAAAUGCAAUCGACUGUACUUAUUCUUGUCCAGUGUGAACUCCCGGCAGAACCUAUCCUUCUCCCUUACUGCGAGUAACGAGCUCCUUUUUAUUUGGCACCAGGACAUACCAUCUUUAGUUACCAACAAAGUUAAAUUAAGACUACACAUAAAUUAGAGUAUGAUGCAGCCACAAUGUAGUUGCAAUCAUAUUACCAAAUAGACAACAUAUACACAUUUACACAUCCCCAUUACUAAAGAAAUUGAAUACCCUGCCAUGUAUGGCAGGAAAGGCACCAUAAAGCCAACCCAAAUGCAUCAGCUCGGUUUAGGAUUCAGCAGUGAAAUAGCAGAUUGCUCAACAUAAUCGUCCACUUACAGUUAAGUACAAAUAAAAAAUAAAAUAAAACUAAACUGUGGUGUUUAUCUCUGAAUGCAUGUUGCAAUGCUGAGGGAAAACAGUAGGUUAAUACAGCUAUUAUGAGGAUAUACCAGGGGAAAACAUUGAAGUCCGUACACUCAGCACAAUGACAGCAGAAUGACAAGGCAAAGGUUGUGUGUGAGUGAACGGCCUGUGUAAGGAGUGCAUUUACAAGGGCUCUCCAUUGAAAUGGCCUUCUCUUUUGUUCUGUUGGGCUACUACAGUUAAACUCGGCUCCAUCCUCACCACCCCAUCCUCUUACCACCAGAGUUGCCAGGCCAGCGAACCGUGAUAUGACACCAGUUCAACAAAUGGGACAAGAGCCAUGCCAAUAAAUGAGUGGCCUACAUGCUUCAUUGGGAUAAGUUACCAGCAGGCUGAUUGAUCUGUCCUACAUCGGAAGGAGAUUGAAACUGUCUGAAUGGCGCCGCAGAAACAAACUCUCACUCAACGUCAGCAAAGCCAUAGAUCUGAAUUUUGACUACAGGAGUGAGAAAUUGGAGAAACUGGGGGUCCAUAGGCCAGUGCUCUGAUGACUGGACGUGGAGAGGGUCAGUAGCUUUAAGUACCUUACAGAGGCUAGCACCUACUGUAAGUGUCAUCACAAAGAACGUGACAGAUCGAUAUUUGUGUAUCACAGCACUAGCCUUCACUUUUGCACUUUCAAGCAAAAGAAAUAAGAGCCAAGCCAAGAUUAGGUGGCAUAGUAGCAUAGUGGUUAGCACAACACUUUACAGUAUCAGUGACCAGGGUUCAAUUCCUGCUGCUGCCUGUAAGGAGUUUGUAUGUUCUCCCCAUGACUGUGUGGGUAUCCUCCCACAGUCUAAAGACCUACUGGUUGGAACAUUAAUUGGUCGUCGUAAUUUGUCCCGAGGUUACACUAGGAUUAAAUCAGGGGAUUGCUGAGCGGUGUGGCUCAAAGGGCUGGAAGGGCCUAUUCUGCACUAAAUCUCAAUAAAUAAAUUUUUAAAAACGGUUUCCCCUUUUUUAUUUUUCUUGUAACUUUUUCAUCAGUAUAAUCGAUGAUUUAUUUAAUUUGUUUUCUUUGUCAUUAUUUUAGAAUUUUGUGGUCCCAUUUUUCAUAAUUACCCCACUUACCUUAAAGAAGUGACUGGUCUUUUAUCUGUGUGGCAUAAAAGAAAUAAUUGGCCCACACUAUAAGAGUAAUUAAAAUGAAGGAUUUGGCGCACACAGUUCACCUGUUAUAAGUAUUUUCAGUUUACUUGCCUACAUGAUUAACACUAAAGGUGUUUAUUGAGAAUACUCACUGGAUUUUGAAUGAGAUGAACUUAUAUAAUCAGAGUCAUUGAUGUUACAUACAGUGUCAAUCAUGCAGAUUAAUUGAAAAGAACCGAAUCACCCUUAAUUAAAUACUCAUGGACUAUUAUUAACACCAUUGAUCAAUAUUAUACACUUCCUAGGAACUGUUGCUCACCGAGCCAACAGCUUUGAAUAAUUCAAAUAAUUGAACUUUUUCUUUCCUCUGCUGUAUAUCCUUCUCAGUGAGAACAUUUGGAUAAUGAACAACACGGACAUUUCCAAGGAUACACAUAAUCUUCUGGGGAUUGUGUAGGAAUCUUUGGAAGGAAGUGUUUCUCUUUCAGGAGUCCUGAUAUACGGGAGGGAGAUUGAAGAUCUGGCUGAGUGAUGUAAGAACAACAACCUCUCACUUGAUGUCAGCAAGAGCAAGGAACUGAUUGUAGACUUCAGCAGAAGGAAAUCUGAGACCCAAGAGCCAGUCCUCAUUAGAGGAUUGGAGUUGGAGAGGAUGAACUUAAGAGAUUGAACAGCACAGCAUAGAUCAAGACGUGCACCGAACUUUUCUCCUACUUCUAGAUAACUCCAACCCUUCCCUCCCAUGUAGCCCUCCAGUUUUCUUUCAUCCAAGCUGGGCCGGGUGGGGCGGGUAUGGCUCUGGUACAGACACAUCCAGCCCUGAGACAACAGGCAAGCUACCUUUGGGCCAGAGGUACAGAGAAGCCUAAAGUCCAACACCACCGGGACCAAGAAUGGAUACCUCUUUCAAAUGUUUACUUCUUAAACCAACCCUUGUCAGCCCUGCUAUAACUACUUUGAUCAUUUGCACUAAAAUGAUCGGUCAUUUUGCUCUAAUUGUGUUCUUCCUUGUAAAAACGGUGUAGUUUCUGUAAAUUUAUGCUUUCCUUGUAAAUGCUGUAUAUAUGUUGCCAUGUGCAUGUUGCAAGUCAGUUUUUCAUUACACCUGUGCAUUUCUGCAAUAUGCUGUUGUGCA